rnacentral:rRNA from 1 species
UUGGAGGGCAAGUCUGGUGCCAGCAGCCGCGGUAAUUCCAGCUCCAAUAGCGUAUAUUAAAGUUGUUGCAGUUAAAAAGCUCGUAGUUGAAUUUCGGGAUCAAGGAAUCGGUCAUGCCUUGGUAUGUACUGGUUUUAUUGGUUCUCACCUUCUAAAGAACCAUAAUGUCAUUUAUUUGAUGUUAUGGGGAAUUAGGACUGUUACCUUGAAAAAAUUAGAGUGUUUAAAGCAAGCUUACGCUUGAAUACAUUAGCAUGGAAUAAUGAAAUUGGACAUCAGAUUCUAUUUUGUUGGUUUCUAGGAUCGAUGUAAUGAUUAAUAGGGAUAGUUGGGGGCAUUAGUAUUCAAUUGUCAGAGGUGAAAUUCUUGGAUUUAUUGAAGACUAACUACUGCGAAAGCAUUUGCCAAGGAUGUUUUCAUUAAUCAAGAACGAAAGUUAGGGGAUCGAAGACGAUCAGAUACCGUCGUAGUCUUAACCAUAAACUAUGCCGACUAGGGAUCGGAUGAUGUUAAUUUUUUAAUGACUCAUUCGGCGCCUUACGGGAAAC